UGAAGUCUUUGCAUUUUAUUUCGUAUGCCCGACCAAGACUUAAUCUUAAAGAAAUCUAAUCUAAAAAAGCGAAUAGUCUGGAUCAUACCAACUAAGGCUCUGCUGAGUUUUUGCCUUGUAUCCUUGAAUAUUCUCAAUGUGAAAAAAAAAACUGGCCAAUUUCUGGACGAAUAUAAAGGCAAGCAAGAUAACUGACGCGAUUUGAGAUCGUCUGUCUUCAGUUUACUUCGACGGACAACACAUAAUGGCAUUUCACUAUAUACUAUAUUUCAGCACGGUUUUGGCUAUUUUUUUCGUCACUUCUAAGGUUACAUCACAAGAUGAAAAAGAAAUCAAAAUAGGUGUUCUCCUCCCCAUGGUUGGCUACUGGCCAAUUGGCACACGCACUGCAGCAUCGGUCCCUUUAGCAGUUCAUGACAUCAUGCAGAAUAAAUCAAUACUCCCUGGUUAUAAUAUAUCCUACCAGAUACAUGAUAGUGGGUGCAACAAAGAAAAGGGAAUACGAGGAAUGGUUAAUUAUCAAGAAAUGGAUGUUAUCAUUGGUCCGGCUUGUUCCACAGCAAUGGAGCCUGUGGCUCUGUUAGCAAAGAUCUGGGAUAAACCCAUCAUUACCUACGCUGCUUCUGCCAGGAAGUUCCUGGAUAAGGAGGUAUUCUCUACUACAUCCACUGUCACAGCUUAUGGAAGAAGAAACACUUACCACACUACAUCUUUCGUGGCAGGUCUGAUGCGCGCUUUCAAUUGGACAGUAUGCGGCAUUUUAAGUUCAUCUGAAAUCGAAUGGAAAACCUUGGCGACAGAAAUACGCGAUGCAAUUACACCUGCAGUUGAGAUACCAAUCUUUGAAAACUUCUACAAGAAUCUGAAGAAAGAAACAUUGCUGACAAAGGCGAAAGAAAGAGUACGAGUUAUUCUUCUGUUAUGCUACGUCAACGACGUCGCCGAAUUCAUGUACGCAGCCAAGAAAUUGGGCAUGACUGAUGGGAGCUACGCCUUUGUAACCAUAGACCUUAACACGGACGUGUUCUACUCUAAUAACAACUGGACUGGUAAUGAGGGGCCUGGGACCCAAUAUGACCAGGGGCUGGACGGUAUCCUUGAUCUGAGUGUAAAAAGACCUGUUCUGACAAGGGACUUUUUGGGACGUUAUCACGGAAUGAAAUCUUCUUUGCCUUCACAUAUACAGUCACAACUGAUAGAUAAUCCAUCAUGGUAUGCUGCCUUUCUCUACGAUGCUCUUUGGCUGGCUGGACUUGCUUUAAAUGCCACCAUCAGUGAAGGGUUUGGCGUCAAAAACACCUCCACAGCGGUCAAACACUUAUUCAACUUGAAUUUUCCAGGAGAAUCAGGCCAGGUUGUCAUGGUGAACGGUACUCGAGUCCCAAGCUUCGUGGUCGGGAAUUUCCGACACGGCUUGUAUGUACCGAUCAUCAACCACAGUAUUUUCUUAACAAAAGAGGACCUCACAAGCAGAAGGCUUCUGUUUGAUUCGAAUAUCGUGUGGCCUGGAGGUACGACCAACAUACCAAAAAGUACACCAGGCUGUGGCUUCGAUGGGGAGCUCUGUAAAGAAAACGCCUCGUCUCAUGAUGAGCAUUAUACUUUGACGAUUUCGCUGACAGUUUUUGGUUGCUGUCUUCUCUUAGUUCUCAUACUUUACAUAAGGAAACGUCAAAUGGAUAAAGAAAGCAUGUUCAAGACAUGGCUGUUGAAUUACACAGACCUGACACCGUGUUACGAUGAACAGGAUGAGGUGGGGGGACAAAAAUCCCACAUACAUAUAAACCAGUUCUCGACAUCGCAAACGCCUACUUUAUUGUUACGAGACAGCGAUAAGAUCUCUACUGGGCACCCUCUACAACCCAUCUUCACCGCUGCACUUUACCAGGGUAAAAAGGUUUAUGUCAAACGUCUCCACCAUGAUGUGCUCAAUAUAACACGACUAAUAAAAAACGAAAUUAGACAGGCAUGUGAGCUGCGUCAUGUUAACAUCAACCCUUACCUCGGUGUAUGCGUUGAACCACUAGACCUCUGUAUAGUAUCUGAAUAUUGUACCAAGGGACGUUUAAAGGAUAUACUUCUUGAUGAGUACCUUAAAUUAGACUGGAAUUUCAAGAUGUCCUUUUCCACCGACAUUGCACGGGGAAUGGAGGAACUCCACAAAAGUAAUAUUGGUUACCAUGGCAAUCUUAAAUCCACCAACAUAGUAGUUGAUGGUUAUUGGAUCUGUAAGAUAGCGGACUUUGGACUACGAGCUUUCAAAUCAGGAAACCGUGGCACUUUGGUAAAAGAAGAUACUUUGUUCAGUGAUAUGUUGUGGACCGCACCUGAACAGCUGCGCAAUACAGUUGACACAGGACACGCACAGAGUGGCGACGUAUAUAGCUAUGGAAUAAUCCUACAAGAGAUUGUGUUACGAGAGAAACCGUAUUCCACGUCUCUCCUUGGACCAAAAGAAAUCAUCCAUCAUGUCAAAAAAGGACUAAAACCACACUGUCGACCCAACAUUCCUCCAGAUAGUGCACCGGGGACAUUUAGGGAACUUAUGACGAUGUGCUGGGAUGAGACCCCUGAAAGAAGACCAACAUUCUCAGGGGUCUUAAAAAUCCUCAAAAAAAUCAACAAAGGAAAAGCGACAAACAUAGUAGACAAUAUGCUAUCAAUGAUGGAGAAAUACACCAAUAAUCUAGAGUCUCUCGUCAAGGAACGAACGCGGCAGCUAGAGACUGAAAAGGCCAAGACUGAUGAAUUGCUUUACAAAAUGAUGCCUAGGAGUGUCGCUGACCAGCUCAAGACCGGCUUACAGAUGAAGGCUGAGAGUUACGAACACGUGACAGUUUUCUUUAGUGAGAUAUUAGGAUUUGCAGAAAUAGCGGAACAAAGCUCACCGAUAGAGCUGAUAAACCUUCUAAACGAUCUGUAUUCAUUGUACGACACAGUUAUUUCUCGUUAUCAUGUCUUUAAGGUAGAAACAAUGUGUGAUUCCUAUCUCGUGGUGUCAGGAUUACCUGAAAGGAAUGGCAAAAGACACGCGGCUGAGAUAGCAUCCAUGGCCCUACACCUUUUAUUUUAUUUCAAAGAUUUCAAAAUACAGCACUUAACUGAUCAGAGUUUAGAAUUCAAAAUGGGGAUUCAUACAGGUCCAUGCGUAGCUGGCAUUGUUGGUCUCAAAACACCACGGUAUGACAUCUUCGGCGAGACAGUCAACGUUGCUAAGCAACUAGAAGCAACUGGAUUACGUAAGAUUAUUAGCCAUCCCGAGGUUGAGGGAAAGAAUUGGUCGAGCUGCAUUGCAGUGCAUUGUGGGACUGUUUUAAGGGGCAUGUUCCAAGAUGGCGUCUAUUUUUCCCUAAAACAGUCCCACAAAGUGGGAUAUAGAAAUUAAUAUCUAAAUAAGAUAUUUGACCAUGUCACCUUUGACAUCUUGCCCAUAUGACCUUUGACCUACUUUCUUUAUCUUUUCCCUGACCAUUGUUGUCCUAUUGUUGGAUGCUCUAUUUUUUUACAGCGCAACACAUUCACAUGAGCGAAAAGUGCAAGUCGUUUCUUGAAGAGAUUGGAGGCUUUACUUACGAAGCAAGGCAUAACAUUCUCGUGAAGGGUCUAGGUGAGACGACGACGUACGUUUUGUC
rnacentral:misc_RNA from 1 species